UACGUAGGGGGCAAGCGUUGUCCGGAAUUAUUGGGCGUAAAGAGCGUGUAGGCGGUCCGGUAAGUCAGCUGUGAAAGUCAAGGGCUCAACCCUUGAAUGCCGGUUGAUACUGUCGGGCUAGAGUCCGGAAGAGGCGAGUGGAAUUCCCGGUGUAGCGGUGAAAUGCGCAGAUAUCGGGAGGAACACCAAUGGCGAAGGCAGCUCGCUGGGAAGGUACUGACGCUGAGACGCGAAAGCGUGGGGAGCAAACAGG
rnacentral:rRNA from 1 species